GGGAUAUACUGAAGAAGACGAUAUCCUAAGAACAGAGUUCUAGAACAUCUCAGAAAUUUAUCUGGCCUACUCUACAGAAAUCACUUAAAUCUAAUAUAACAACAUGUGUAAACUGGAUGAAUUUUCACAAACUGAACCACCAUUUGAACCAAUCACACUGCUGCAACUCCUUCAAGAGUAAUUGUGAUCCUGGCAUCUAACAGGUUCCUACAGAGCACUGUAGUCCUCACGUACUACAAAAGAUGAAAUCAAGUUAAAAUGUUACCAUACCUAUAAAAUAUCCAG